rnacentral:rRNA from 1 species
UACGUAGGGUCCGAGCGUUGUCCGGAAUUAUUGGGCGUAAAGGGCUCGUAGGCGGUCUGUCGCGUCGGGAGUGAAAACUUACAGCUUAACUGUGAGCGUGCUUCCGAUACGGGCAGACUUGAGGUAUUCAGGGGAGAACGGAAUUCCUGGUGUAGCGGUGAAAUGCGCAGAUAUCAGGAGGAACACCGGUGGCGAAGGCGGCUGACUGGUCCGGUUCUGACGCUGAGGCGCGAAAGCGUGGGGAGCAAACAGG